CAUAGUUGACAGUCUUACAGUGUAUCAAUUUUGCAUGUACAUGUACAUGGGUGUCGGUGAACCCACAAAAGAUUUUGGUAUCGUGCAACUAUACUUACAGAAUCACGCUGACAUAUCAACGGAAAAACCAAAUUUCAUAAAUUUAGAAGUAUCGAUAUACAACUUUUUAAAAACCAUUGUAAGGAAUAUGGGUUACCCCUUCCACAAUGUGCUGAACAAAGAAAAGGCGCAAAGCUUCACGCGAACGAAGCUUCAUGUUCAGCUGAUAAAGUAAUUCAUACUAUUGUUUUAAACCUAUCAGAGUAUUAGCUUAAAGACUUACAAAUAAAUGAGAGAACUAACGAUCAGAUUAUAAAAGAUGCGUUUAAUGAUUGUAUGCAAUGGCUCAGGAAAUACUACCAUUCCUCAUCUACGAGUAAUACUAUGUCAGAGUAUAACUUCUACAUGUACAUGGGUGGAGAUGAAGUUCCAAGAAACUAUGAAAUCGUGUAUGGGUACUUACUAAAAGACCACUUGAUUAAAAAAAGCACGACCAAAGAAUGUUGGAUAGAUUCAAAAUCAUUUGGUGAACUCUUUACACACGUUUGCGGCGAAUAUCAGAUAUCCAUCGAAGAAUGUGCUAGAAGAAGGAAAGAAGAAACACAAGUACAGAUAGUAAUACAUAAUUUGUUACGGUCUCGUCGUAGACUGCCUUAUAAUGACAGAUAAAAAACAUUUAUCGAGAUAUUGUA